rnacentral:rRNA from 1 species
UACGUAGGGUGCGAGCGUUAAUCGGAAUUACUGGGCGUAAAGGGCGCGUAGGCGGCCGCUUAAGUCGAACGUGAAAUCCCCGGGCUCAACCCGGGAACUGCGUCCGAUACUGGGGGGCUUGAAUUCGGGAGAGGGAUGCGGAAUUCCAGGUGUAGCGGUGAAAUGCGUAGAUAUCUGGAGGAACACCGGUGGCGAAGGCGGCAUCCUGGACCGAGAUUGACGCUGAGGCGCGAAAGCCAGGGGAGCAAACGGG